rnacentral:lncRNA from 1 species
GGGCACGCGAGCGGCUGCGGGGUGGCGCCGCGCGGGGCGAUGGGCUCCCUCCCCUACCUGUUCCCGUGGAGGGGAGCGCGCCCAUGUGCGGGGGAGGGGGGCUCUAGGCGAAGCUUUUGCGUGGGUGCGGGGAAUAAUUGCGUAGGCUGGCUGGCUCCGUGUCUACGUGUGGGGUGCGGGAGCCGGGAGCCGGUGCCGGUGGGCUGGUUGGUGGGAU